CUCAACAGGUAUACCAAUUGCAGGAAAGGACGUCAUCCACUUAAUUCAAAUCUCACUUUUUAAAUCUAAGGAAAAAACAAUAAGUGCUCCAAUGAUAACCUUUAACAACUAUAAUAAUAUGGUUUAUAUGACACGUGUCCCUUUUAAAUCAACUUGACGGCUAAGUAAAUCAUAUUAAUUCUUUCCUAACCAAUAUUUGGUACUACCAAAUUGGACCAAGAAAAAGCGGUACGUACGUACUUCCAAUUUCAAAGCUCUAUGAUUUAUAAAUAUUGCCAGAAAAUUCACUUCUUUAGCAUCCAUCAACUUUUAUAUUUCAGCUGGUGUGUAUUCUUGUUUUCAAAAGAUAUAUGGAAAUGAAGCAGAUGACAUUUUUUUGGGGAAGAAAUAACUGGGAAAGUUUACAGAUGUAUGUAUUGGAUUUGGUUGCAGUGUUCGUGCUUUCUUUUAUGGUGGAAUGGCUGUCACAUUCGAGAUUUAUAAGUUCAUUCUUCCUACACUGUGAAAUUGUAAGCCGCAAGCUAAUCGGAUUUAACUGAUCAAGUUCUACGGUAUCCAGCCCCUUCCCCGGACCCCGCGCAUAGCGGGAGCUUAGCGCAUCGGACUGCUCUUUAUCUUGCACAAUGGAAAUUAUUGUCCACGCACCAAUCAAAUACCGGAAAAAUACGUUUCAUGAAAAUGACUUCCAUCCUACCAAACCCGCUCAGAAUGUAGUUGCAAUGUCAAAUCUUUUGAGUCUCCAACAUUGCACCAAAAAAAGAGAGAAAAGCCCCCUCUCCACGAGUUUGGACCAAGGAAAAGUAAGAAAAGGACCUGCCGCACAUAUAACACUUGCACUUCAUACAUUAUAUGCACACUAUUUCCAGCUUCCCUACCUAAAACGUAUUAUUAACUUCCCUCCAUCUAAAGUAGUUGAAGGUUAG